UACGUAGGGUGCAAGCGUUGUCCGGAAUUAUUGGGCGUAAAGAGCUCGUAGGCGGUUUGUCGCGUCUGCUGUGAAAACUCGGGGCUUAACUCCGGGCCUGCAGUGGGUACGGGCAGACUAGAGUGCGGUAGGGGAGACUGGAAUUCCUGGUGUAGCGGUGAAAUGCGCAGAUAUCAGGAGGAACACCGGUGGCGAAGGCGGAUCUCUGGGCCUUACCUGACGCUCGAGGCGCGAAAGCUAGGGGAGCGAACUGG
rnacentral:rRNA from 1 species